GGAGCCAUAGGGAGGGAUUCCAAUCCAGUCUUAGGAAAAGAAACCUACCACAGGAGUCUUGGAGAUUGGCGACUGUCCUAAUGACUUA
rfam:Equus caballus chromosome 24, whole genome shotgun sequence.